rnacentral:rRNA from 1 species
AUGAUGAUUAACAAGGCUCAAGGGCAGACCAUCCCGGUUGUUGGUGUGUACCUACCUAAUCCGGUGUUCUCUCAUGGUCAACUCUAUGUUGCUUUGUCUCGAGCCACCGCAAAGAGAAACAUAAAGAUACUCAUUCAGAAGGAGAAGCCGAAGGAGAAGGCCAAGAAGCAGAAAGACAAUGCAAAGAAGCAAAAAAGACCGAUUGUGUCCUUACUGACCUUGAUGAAGAACAUCGUCUACAAGGAAGUCCUUAGAGGCUGA